AGUUUUAAGUGAAGAGUUUGAUCCUGGCUCAGAGUGAACGCUGGCGGUAGGCCUAACACAUGCAAGUCGAACGGCAGCACAGAGGAGCUUGCUCCUUGGGUGGCGAGUGGCGGACGGG
rnacentral:rRNA from 1 species